GCCACACACUGCACACGCACGCGACGCUCUCUUUCACUAACCAAACCAAUCCCAAAAUCCCAAAACCUAAAAACAAUUUACCCCCAAAACCAAACCUUCGUCUCUCCCAAACUCAAAAUUAUUUCAAUUUCACACUUAAAUCACUUACCCGCCAAAACACUUAAAAUCUCCUUUACAUAUUUAAUAUAAUUUUUCGGGGUCUCGGCUCUUAACUGCAGAGACUAAUCACUCGAACAGCUUCGCUUAGAUUACCGCUUCAAAUUUUAUUUUUCUUUCAAAUCUCUCCUUCCUUCUAUCUUCCUCCUCUUCCCUCCAUUUCUCUCCGUUUCUUUCUCUAGGAUUUCUCUCCGAUGGACGACGUGCCGGUGUCGGAACCUACACUGGAUCCGCCACCGGAGAUUGAAAACGGAGGAGGAGAGCAACAAGAGGAGCGGUUGAGCAAGAAGGCGAAGGUGGAGGAGAAUGAGAAUUCGGAGGCGGAAUUGAAACGAGUGGCGGAGAUUGUUUUGGUGUUAUCGACGAUGGCGACGAUGCGAAGUGGAAAGAAGCCAACUGAUGUUGAGGUUGAGUUGAUGAGAGAAGCGAGGACGAAGCUGGCGGUACUAUGUCAAGGGAUUGCUCCGAAGGAUAUUGUUGGUGGUGAAGCUAUUGGUAGUGUGAUUGAUGAUCUUGGAUUGAAUGCUAAGGUUGUGGAUCAGAGGUUAGGGUUUCGAGUGCCGAAGAUGUCGAUUGCUGAGAAGUAUUUGUUUGCAAAAUCAAAGAUGGAGGAAUCAAAGAAAUGCGCUGCACCUUCUACAACAUACACAUCUCAACCCUUUCAAACAAACACCGGUGGAAUGGUUGACAAUCGUGUACCAACAACUGCUGUUCGAAUGUUUGCGUCUGAUAAAUCAAACCACACAUCAAUGCCUUCUACAGUUUCCAUGGCGUCUAUGCCUCCCCAUCUUGCUGCAGGAUCUUCUGCACCAUUGCAAUAUCAAUCAACCAGCAACGAAGUGAGACCCCCCAUUGUUUCUGGUGUAAUGCCUAGCAGUCACAUGGGGAGAAAUCCAUCUUCUGUAGCAAUGCCUAGAGUUGAAAACCCACAGUUUAAAGUUACUGCAGGAUUGAGUGGGGCUCCUUAUGUCCUUCAGGUUCAAGGUAAUUUCCACCAAGCUUCUCAUCAAUCCCAUAUUCCAAGGGGUGGUAGAGCAAAUUCAUUGGCAAACCAAUCAUCAGUGAAUGCUCCUUCAUGGUCAAUACAGACUCAACCUGUGUCAUUAGGUAGAAAUGUAUCAGAAAACAAGGCGCCUGCUCAUAACUCUGUCAAGGUUGAAGGAACUGCUGAUGCAACUGUAUCAAGGGCAGGUCCACAAGUAACAGCAGCUCAGAACAUUAGGCCAUUCAUUACUCAAACGGGACCUGGAAAUAUGUCUGCUAUGCACCAGCCGUUGCAGGGUGGGAAUAUGGUUCGGCCUCCUUUGAUACCUAGUCACUCUGAUAUUGCAAAGGUUGUCCAGAAGUUGUUAAUACCAAAGCUUCCUGAUCAUCCCACAUGGACUCCUCCGUCAAGAGAUUAUAUGAGUAAGAAUUUCACAUGUCAGACGUGUGAGCUCACUGUCAGUGAGGUUGAUUCUGUUCUUCUCUGUGAUGCCUGUGAAAAGGGAUUUCACUUGAAGUGCCUGCAGCCAUCAGUCAUUAGAGGAAUUCAUAAUAGAGUUGAUUGGCACUGCAUGAAGUGCUUGGGUUUAAGCGGUGGAAAGCCUUUGCCUCCAAAAUAUGGCCGUGUGAUGCGAUCCUCAAUUACAUCACCAAGUUUUCCCUCUAAUUCAGCUGGUAUUCAACCAUCUUCAGAGAAGAAACCAGAUAACUUAGAUCCGAAGGUCAGCCCACAGAUGUUAACAACAAAUGGAAACUCUGUUCCAACUGAUUCCAGUACCAAUCACAAUACUGAGCCGUCAUUUGACUCAAAUACCCCAGAUACGAGAGAUAUACAAGGUUCCAACAUUUCAUCUAGCAUUGAAACCAUUGACGAGAAGCCUGAUCCAAACAUAUGUGUGAAAUCUGCAGCUUAUAGUGCUUCCACUGGCGUGCAGGGUGAAGGUUAUGCUGAACAAAUAGAUUCUAAGGCUUUGACCUGUAAAGAUACUUCUGAAUCUGAAACUCUUCCUAACAUAUCCGAGCUGGCUAAAAGUGGAAACUUACAAUCAUCACCAGGUUCUCAAGUUGAGAAUGCAGUGUCACAGGACAAUGCUGAAAUAUCAUCUGAUAGACACGAUAGCAGUAGCUUUAUUAUUAGUAAUCAAAAGGAAUCUCAUGAAGGAGAAAGUACAACUUAUGAUAUCAAGCGUGAUGACCUAGAUGCUGCACAACCGAAUUCUGUCAGAGGUUCUGGAACUAAUACUGAAGGUAUUCAGCACUGUGCUUUAUCUUCAGAUAGCUCACAUGCUGUAGAAUGGAUUGGUGAUGUUGUACAACUUGUAGAUGAGAAAAAACAUUACCAAUCUUGCUGCAUUGAUGGAGUAACAUAUAGGCUGCAAGGUCAUGCAUUUUUCACGUCCAGCCAUGGCAAACUAACACCUUCUAAACUUCAGUCCAUGUGGGAAGAUUCCAAAACUGGGGUGAAGUGGGUUAAGGUGACAAAGUGCUACUUUCCUGAUGAUUUGCCGGGGAAUAUUGGUCAUCCUUGUAUAUCUGAAGUCAAUGAGGUUUAUGAAUCUAAUAGUGAUAGAGUUGAAAUGGCUAGUUCUAUCCGAGGCCCUUGUGUAGUCCUUCCAUAUGAUAAAUUUAAACAAGAAAAUGACAGAAGAUGUCAAUUUGGAGUUGAAGCAAGUGCUAGUGUACAACCCAUUUUCCUUUGCAGGUGGUUUUAUGAUGAAAUCAAAAAGUCAUUUCAACCUGUUAUCAGUUGAUCUGUGUCGAACAUACAUGUUUUUGUGAUGCCUAAACAGCAGUUUUGUGUGAAUCACUUGUGUGCCGCAAUAAUAAUGCGGGAACAUUGGGUGCUAGAGCCUCUGUAAACUCGCCUUGAAAUCCAUUGCAGUUUUGUGGUGCUUGGAUGGUUUCAAACAGGUUUUGUAUCGUAUGGGUAGUUUAACAUACAAUUCAUGUGAGACCCAUUUCAAGGCGCAUAGCAGCAGCAUUGCCUUAGGCAAAAAUGUAGCUGGGGAACGUGAAUUGCAUUCGAUGUCAUAUAUGUAGCUGUAGCUGUAGCUGUGACUGCUUAGUUUAAGUUUAAGCUAUAUUAGUGCUGUUUAUUUAUUUAUUUUUUUAUAGAUUUUCGUUUUGUAUAAUUCUUUUUUGGUGUAUGUAGGCUCUUUAGCCCCGCUGAUCAUAUUUUUAUCUUUAAAAAUUAGAUAAUCAUUGUAGACUUGUAGUCCUCUUAGUUUGCUGGAACUGUAUAAUAUUUCGUUUAUACAACAUCACUUCUGAAAAAGCAUAUCCAUGGGAAUUUCGUUGGUCACUGAA